UACGAAGGGGGCUAGCGUUGCUCGGAAUCACUGGGCGUAAAGGGUGCGUAGGCGGGUCUUUAAGUCAGGGGUGAAAUCCUGGAGCUCAACUCCAGAACUGCCUUCGAUACUGUAGAGCUUGAGUUCGGGAGAGGUGAGUGGAACUGCGAGUGUAGAGGUGAAAUUCGUAGAUAUUCGGAAGAACACCAGUGGCGAAGGCGACUUACUGGACACAUAUUGACGCUGAGGUGCGAAAGCGUGGGGAGCAAACAGG
rnacentral:rRNA from 1 species